rnacentral:lncRNA from 1 species
AAUUUGAUAAGAUAUUUAAAAGAGAGAGUAAAGGAGAAGGAGGAGAAUCAUAUGUACAAUAAUAGUAAUACUAAGGACAAUGAUAAAUGAGAGAAGGAAGAAGAAGAGUGUGACAGGGGAUAAGAGUAGUGAUGAAAAAUGAGGAGAAAGAAAAAGAUGAAGUGUAGGAAAGGAAGGGGGAUAAGUAGAAGUGUGCAGCCGCAAAGUAGUAGUAGGAGUAUGUGAGAGUAAAAAAGAACGAAGAAAAUAAAGAAGAAUAAGAAAAGAUGGAGAAAGAAGAUUUAUCAAGUAAUUAUCAAAUGAAAAUUAAUGAUAAAUUUUUGUAGUUAGAUUUUGUUCUAGUUAAAGGGUCUGAGGCCGAUCGUCCUUCCUUCGUUCACUGCCUUUUCUGUUCACACCUCUCAAUCGUUCUGGAAUCUCACGACUACUUGUUAUCGCCUGGUGUGUAACCUGUAGAAAACACUCUGAUGUUCAAGUCAGAUAUGUGUUCUACAAAAAGAUUUAUGUGAUUACUCGAAAAAAUGUCUUUAUUUGG